GAACGCGUCCAAUCCCAUCUGACCUCGUCCGGUCCCAUCUGACCUCAGAAGCUAAGCAGAGUCGGCCCGGUUAGGUACUUGGAUGGAAGCUCUUAUAAAUUUUUAAAAGGGAUUAUCCAUUCA
rnacentral:rRNA from 1 species